rnacentral:pre_miRNA from 14 species
GUGUCACCUCGUGUUACGUAUACUGAAGGUAUACCGGAUAGCGAGCACUCAGGAUACAUUCAGUAUACGUACACGGAGUGCCAC